rnacentral:lncRNA from 1 species
GGCGGGAGUGCCAGCGCGAGGGAGGAGCCUGGGGCGGAGCCGCGCACGCGCAAACUGCGGGUCCCGCCGCCGUCUCUGCGGAGGCUGAGUCGGGCAGGGCUGUAACGUUGGGAACUGUUCGGGCUCUAGGAGCAAGGAGCCCAGUACUUCGUGAGCCCCUACAUCUGUGCACCACAGCACACACACUUCACAUAUCUACAUAAAGAAGGGUUCACCACACAACACACACGUCACACAGCUGCACAAGACCCGUCUGCUGUCUACACACACGUCCCACUCACGUUCACUGGUAGCAGAAGGCAAGUACAGAGGGCACGCUGAGGCCCAGCAGGAGGGAGGACGCGGAGUCCCUAAGCCUCACGGCCCCCACCGUCUCCGUUGGGGCCGGAGGUGACGCUGGCCGCAGCAGCUUUUAGUUGUUCAGGAAUGACGGCCCCACCCAGUCGCCCCUGGGGCAAGGGUCGAACCGUAAGCGAGUGAGGACUGUGGGCGUUAGGGGUCGGAAUUGGUUCGGGGAGAGGACUGGGUAGAAGAGGAAGGGGCCAGGCCAGGCCUCCCUGCUGACCACAUCCAAAUGUGCGCAGUCCCCCGGGACCAGGAUCCGAAGCCGCCGGCAGCAGCGUGGACCAAAGCUGUGGGGGUCUUGAUCAACCCCUUGGCGCUUUCUGUGCCACAGUUUUCCUAAUCUGCAAGGGACAGGAAGGUUCCUCUAGCAGGUUCAGCCUGAGGUUUUGGCCCGUGCCCCGGGACACCCUGAAACUAAAGGACAGCCGAGGCCUAUGCUGAUGCCAAGCCUUCACGGAGGCAGUCUCUGGGUUCUCACAACCAACCUGAGAUGCGAGAUUAUACCGACUUUACAUAGGCGAAUACAUGAGGCCCAGAGAUGUUAAAGACCCAAGGCUCCUUGGUUCUAGGCGCAGAACCCAAGUCCUUUCCAUUACAUUGCCCCUGGAAGAAGGUUUUCAGUAGGGGAGAGAGUGGCAUACUAAAUUCUCAAACUGGCUUGAUACUAGCGUUUCUUUGGAGGCUCUAUCAAAAUUUGAAGUCGCUGUUUGAUUAAAAUGAACUACAUGGAGAAGGUUGUCCACUGCAGCAUUGUAUGCCAAAACAACAGAACUGGGUCACUGAGAUGUCCAGUAGGGAAGUGGCUAAAUAAACCGUGAUAUAGAUAGAUAGAUAGAUAGAUGAUAGAUAGAUAGAUAGAUAGAUAGAUAGAUAGAUAGAUAGAUAGAGAUAUGUUUUUAAAGGUGAAUGCUGAGAGCAGUGCUCACAGCGGUAAUACCAGCACUUUGGGAGGAUGAGGUGGGAGGAUCGGUUGAGCCCGGGAGUUGAGACCAGCCUGGGCAACAUAGCAAGACCCAGUCUCUAUUAAAAAAAAAAAUUAGCUGGUGUCAUGGCAGUAGGUUGGGCCAGGAGUCCUAGCUACUCAAGAGGCUGAGAGGUGGGAGGAUAGCUUGAGGAUAGCUGCAGUGAGCUGUGAUUAUUGAGCCCCGGGGCUCCAGCCUGGAUGACAGAGCAAGAUCCUGUCUCUAAAUAAAUAAAUAAAUAAUAAAAAGUGAAGUAGGUCUCUAUGUUGAUGUGGAAGGAACUCCAAGAGAAAAAAGCCAGGUGCAGAAGUAUGCAUACCAUGACCACCCACCACCCCCCUCCCCC